GACGAACGCUGGCGGCGUGCUUAACACAUGCAAGUCGAACGGAAAGGCCCUGCUUGCAGGGUACUCGAGUGGCGAACGGGUGAGUAACACGUGGGUGAUCUGUCCUGCACUUCGGGAUAAGCCUGGGCAACUGGGUCUAAUACCGGAUAGGAGCCAUUCUGGGGUGCUUGGUUGGAAGGUUUUUUCGGUGUUGGACGGGCUCGGGGGCUAUCGGCGUGUUGGUGGGGUAGUGGCCUACCAGGGCGGGGACGGGUAGCCGGCCUGAGAGGGUGGACGGCCACAUUGGGCCUGAGCUACGGCCCAGACUCCUACGGGAUGCAGCAGUGGGGAAUAUUGCACAAUGGGCGGAAGCCUGAUGCAGCGACGCCGCGUGGGGGAUGACGGCCUUCGGGUUGUAAACUGCUUUCGCUAGGGACGAAGCGUUUGGUGGCGGUACGUAGAUAGGAGGCACCGGCUAACACCGU
rnacentral:rRNA from 1 species